GCCACAGCAACAUGCUGGGCCGGACGCAGCGCGCGCUGCGCGGCCCGUUAGUCCGCUGCCGUCGCGGGGCUGUCGACUGUCGGGAGUGACCAGUGCGUGGAGGACGAGUGCGUGGAGGACCAGUGCGUCGAUCGGGCAGCAAGCGGCGUCGGACGGCGUCAAACGGCGUCGAGUGACAACGCGGAAAGGAGAACCGACACCGGGACAGCGGCAUCAACACUCACCCGCAAGGAAUGGUGAGAGUCGGCGACGAACAUCGCGAAGACGGGCGAGUCAAAACGAAAACAAAGAAGCGGACAUUGGAGGUUCCACACAAACAAGGCAGAAGUGCACGGAAUAAAAGCAGGGACGCGACAAAAGAAGCGAGGAUCCCGAAAGGUUGCUCCCGCGCUGGCGUGACACCGGACGGCCGGCCGGACAGAUGGACGGGGCGGCGGGACUGCGGCGGCCGCGCG